CUAAGAUCUCCUGCAUACUGGUGAUCGUCUGCAACCUUGGGAACUCAUGGCCAGGUGUGCUGCUCAGAUGCUUAUGCCUGAGGAUAGGACAUGAACCUGCAAACACAUGUGAGUAAUCUUGGACACUGAACAGACUAAACAAUUUAUCUCUAGUUUCACAUUUGCUUCUCAUUUGUUAUGCACCAGCACAACGAUGCAAGGCUUCAGUUGAGAAUAAUGUUUAGUUUAUGCAGACUUCAGUCUUUCAUGAACAUACUCUUGAAAACAGUCUAUGGGAGUGGUGCUGCAUCCUAUAUGGUCGGUGACUUAAUGAAGGCUUCUAAGCCAAAAGGAUGUACUUUUAUUUGAGACACUUCUUACCUGACAGUGAAUCCGGAUACAGUCAUAGUAAUAUCGCCACUCAUCAGGACAAAAAUCAACUGUAACUGCAAAUGACAAGCCAGGGACAAGCCGAUGCUAUAAAAUGACACAGGAUAUAAACCAGGAGGCACUUAAAUACUCAAACUCCACUAAAAUGAAGUCUUCUGCUACCAGUGAACAGGACACUCAAAGCACUGUGAUUACUAUAAGGAGCACAAGAGGAUAAACCUACAAUUCACCACGAGGUACAGCAGGUGUGUAUAUAAGUGAUGGU